CUUAAAUUCAACCCAUUAGAAUAUGUUAUGUGGGAAGACCCAGAUGCCAUCGCUCAAGCGCCAGGAGGUAGGCCAGGCCCCGAUCCACCGCGGGAAGGAGAACCACGCCUGCUCCCAAACCAGACGCCAUCGCUCAAGCGCCGGGAAGUCUCCCCAGGUUUAGUUCACCCCAUCAACCUGCAAUUCUACCUACUCAAGCCUGAACCGCCCGCCAUGCAUGAUGAAGGAAAACACAGGAAUAAUGCCCCCAAAGAACCGAAAAGUAUGAAGUUUCGGCACUAGCAGCCCUGUAGGUGCAGGUGGGUUAUGUGACACCCCACCUUCCCAUGGAGCUCUCUGUAUCUUAUGCACAUUAGGGG
rnacentral:lncRNA from 1 species